GCGGCGAACGAACACAUUGUCCCCCCCCCUUCGGUGGGUCGUGGCGCCUCGCGGCGUCCCGGCCGGCCGUCUCCCUUCGUCACGAGCUUCGUCGCUUCACGUGGCGAUUCUCGGGGCGGUGGGGUUUCCACGAUGCGCCCACCUUGACCGAAUGACUGAGUCCCGAAUGCUUGGAUCUAGGAGCCGGUGAGUUUCGUCCCCUUGAGCGAGUGGCUUUCGCUCGCGCGGGGGGUUCGGCGCGCGCUGGUUGCCUUGUGACGAGCUGAAACGUGAAUCGAAAACAACUCUCAGCAACGGAUAUCUUGGCUCUUGCAACGAUGAAGAACGCAGCGAAAUGCGAUACGUAGUGUGAAUUGCAGAAUUCCGCGAAUCAUCGAGUCUUUGAACGCAAGUUGCGCCCGAGGCUUGUCCAAGGGCAUUUCCGCUAGAGCGUCACCGCGCCCCCCCACCGAUCCGCUCCCGCGUGGAGUCGUGUCGAGUGGAAGUGGCCGUCCCGGUCUCGGCCUUCGCGCCGAGUGAAGGGUCGGCUGAAAUGGAUGGAAUUGGGCCGCCGCGGUGACACAGUCCGCGAUCGGGUGAUUUUUCGGCGAGCCUCCCUUUGGGAGGAGGAGAGCCGUGAAUUUUUCUAAGUGCGUGGCUGCGUCCCCCAGUUGGUUUUUACCUAGUGCAGGUCUUGCGCGC
rnacentral:misc_RNA from 1 species